AUGAUGCCACCUGAUGACUGUGGCAGCUGUCACCUGACUCUCACAUGUUGAACACCGUGUGUCUGGAACUCUGAGAUCCAA
rnacentral:snoRNA from 1 species